rnacentral:rRNA from 1 species
UACGUAGGGGGCUAGCGUUGUCCGGAAUCAUUGGGCGUAAAGCGCGUGUAGGCGGCCCGGUAAGUCCGCUGUGAAAGUCGGGGGCUCAACCCUCGGAUGCCGGUGGAUACUGUCGGGCUCGAGUACGGAAGAGGCGAGUGGAAUUCCUGGUGUAGCGGUGAAAUGCGCAGAUAUCAAGAGGAACACCGAUUGCGAAGGCAGACUCGCUGGACGUGACUGACGCUGAGACGCGAAAGCGUGGGGAGCAAACAGGAUUGAAGAUACCGUGUAAGUC